rnacentral:rRNA from 1 species
GACGUAGGGGGCAAGCGUUGUCCGGAAUUAUUGGGCGUAAAGCGCUCGUAGGCGGAUCUGCAAGUCUGUGAAGAAAGACCCGGGCUCAACUCGGGGAACGGCAUAGAUACUGUUGAUCUUGAGACAGUCAGAGGAUGAUGGAAUUCCAGGUGUAGCGGUGAAAUGCGCAGAUAUCAGGAGGAACACCGGUGGCGAAGGCGGUUCUCUGGGCCUGUACUGACGCUGAGGAGCGAAAGCGUGGGGAGCAAACAGG